rnacentral:lncRNA from 1 species
UGACUUGUUCUUCGUCGUUAUCUUCUUUUCCUCUGUGUCUGUUUUUUGGUACCUGAGAAAAUGUCUUGCUGUGGUGGUAACUGUGGUUGCGGAAGUGGCUGCAAGUGCGGCAACGGCUGCUCAGGGUGAGUGAGGUUAUAGUGCCUUUGUUGUGUCUUCGUUUUAUAUGUCGGAAAAUGGUUUUCCUUUUGGGAGGGUCUUCUUCCUGGAUUUUAACUUGCUUUAUGGAGACCCUUUUGGCUGAACUGCAUGAAAGUUCACGCUUUGUUAAUUUUCUUGCAUGGGGAUAUUGUGAUAACCUGAACAUUUAUUUUGCUUGUACAGAACAUGUAGAUUUGUUUUUCUUCUACACGGGAAGGUUUCUGGGGUUUUUUUAUUUCUAUCUGGGUACCCUUUUUUGUUGAAUUUGUAUAAAAGUUAGUACUUUUAAUUUUUUUUUUCUUCUUACUUGCGUUUUUGCGAGUUAAACUCUGACCGCUUUGAUGGUCUCUUUCACUUGUUUAAAGAUUGCGGUGUUUCGAUUUAUUUGGCUUUUUGGAUACCCUUUGAGUUGAUCUAUGGUUGUUAGAAUCUCCACGAGGAUUUUAUUUCUGGGAAAAUGUUUCUGGGAGUCCUGAUACAUGUUGAAUGUGAAUUCACCUGAUCAUGAUGCAAAUGAACCAUAUUAAAUGUUUGUGCACUGUUAAGAAGAGAGAAACGCAAUGUUUUCAUGUUAAAAUAAUCAUGAGAGGAUUUUUUACCCCUGUGUUGUUUAAAUUUCCCUUAGACUUUUUGUUUUCUUAAUUUUUUUGUUUUUGGUUGUUCUGCAGCUGCAAGAUGUACCCAGACUUGAGCUACACGGAGCAGACAACCACUGAGACUUUGGUCAUGGGAGUGGCACCUGUUAAGGCUCAAUUCGAAGGUGCUGAAAUGGGUGUUUCUGGUGAGAAUGGUGGCUGCAAGUGUGGAGGUAACUGCCAAUGCGACCCCUGUACUUGCAAGUGAGGUUGGAUUGCGAAAGCUUGAAGCAGAGAUUGGACCUUAAUUAGCAUUAGCAGCAGGAAUAAUUACAAUAAUUAACUAUUAUCUGUUUUUUAAAAAGCUUACAAAAAUUUAUGUCUUUGUUUCUGUUUUCGUGUACUCUGGUGUUAGGUCUAAACACCCUUUAGAAUAAAGUGAUCAUGUCUUG